rnacentral:lncRNA from 1 species
CCAAAGUAAAGGAGGAGUUCUUGGUUGGAUCAAUUGGUGAAAAAGCAAUAAGAGAUAAUUUGAACUUUGCUAUCACUACUAUUUAUGUACAUUCAAAUAUACAAUAAUAAAAAUGCAAUAUUUUGUUUAGUCUUCAACCUAUGAACUCCCUACUGCCAAGAAAAUUCCAUUUUGCUUGUAAUAGCCUUCAUUUCUUCUUCGAAUGCUUAUUUCUUGAGACGUGCAAAAUAUUUGCUCCGGGAGUGCCUUUGGGUUAGUGUUCUAGAGAGUUUCAGAUUUCAAAUCAUUUUUCCUUUUGACACACGAUGGGUAGAAGUGUUGUAGGUGCUGCAUUGUUAGUGAGUUUUCUCUGUUUUUUGUUUACUGGGAUUUUGGCGCACCACAAAAAUAGGAAGACUCUUAUCACAGCUUCAUCGUCCCGAAGUUUUAAAAGUUUGAAGUCCAUGGAAAGCAGAAGGCGCGCUUAUCACCACAAUUUCGACCUCAGUUGUGUGAGCAAGAGAAGAGUACCUAAUGGACCUGAUCCAAUUCACAACAGGUACUUAAUCAUGAAGAUUUGAUACAAGAUUUUACAUUAGUUCGAUCUUGUUGGCAAAGUUGGAAAAAUGGGAAUUCUCUAAUCAUGCUUGUUUAGCGGUAUACACAUCACAUUCUUUCCAUCUUUAACAAAAGCUGAGAAUAUUAGAUGAUUUACUCAUAUGUCUAGCUACUUAACUGAAGACACUUUCCUUGAACUUUGAUUUUCCAGGGUAGCAGGAAAUUCUUGAUUACCUACUCGAGUUUAAGCAUGACUGGAUUAAGACGUUGCUGGGGACGUGUAGCAGGAAACUCUUUGAUUCACUCUCUUAUUGAUUGAGAACAGCUUUUACAUUAUGUUUAUAGACUAAUUACUAAAUUCAGGUCUUUUAUGGCACUUUAAAACGGUUAAAGAAAAUAGUGAAUAUUUGGUUUGGUGAAAUUUGAUGAUGAAAUUCUUAUAGUCCUCAUUUAGCAGAAAUCUAUGUAUUCUUCUGGUCAUGUUUAUCUGUAAUUUGCAUGGAAUUUUCG